rnacentral:rRNA from 1 species
UACGGAGGGGGCGAGCGUUAUUCGGAAUCAUUGGGCGUAAAGGGCGCGUAGUCGGCCGGGCAAGUCAGGGGUGAAAUCCCUCGGCUCAACCGAGGAAUUGCCUCUGAAACUGCCCAGCUCGAGGCCGGGAGAGGGUAGUGGAAUUCCCAGUGUAGCGGUGAAAUGCGUAGAUAUUGGGAGGAACACCAGUGGCGAACGCGGCUACCUGGAUCGGUUCUGACGCUGGGGCGCGAAAGCGUGGGGAGCAAAUAGG